AUUGAACGCUGGCGGCAGGCCUAACACAUGCAAGUCGAACGAGUGGCGGACGGGUGAGUACUGUCUGGGCAACUGCCCGAUGGAGGGGGCUCACUACUGGAAACGGUAGCUAAUACCGCAUACCAUCGGAUGUGCCCAGAUGGGAUUAGCUAGUAGGGGGGGUAACGGCUCACCUAGGCGACGAUCCCUAGCUGGUCUGAGAGGAUGACCAGCCACACUGGAACUGAGACACGGUCCAGACUCCGACGGGAGGCAGCAGUGGGGAAUAUUUCACAAUGGGCGCAAGCCUGAGAGAGCCACGCCGCGUGUGUGAAGAAGGCCUUCGGGUGGUAAAGUACUAGCAGCGGGGAGGCGGGACCCGCAGAAGAAGCGCCGGCUAACUCCGUGCUAGCAGCCGCGGUAAUAC
rnacentral:rRNA from 1 species